AUUGAACGCUGGCGGCAGGCCUAACACAUGCAAGUCGAACGGUAACAGGAAGCAGCUUGCUGCUUCGCUGACGAGUGGCGGACGGGUGAGUAAUGUCUGGGAAGCUGCCUGAUGGAGGGGGAUAACUACUGGAAACGGUAGCUAAUACCGCAUAAUGUCGCAAGACCAAAGAGGGGGACCUUCGGGCCUCUUGCCAUCGGAUGUGCCCAGAUGGGAUUAGCUUGUUGGUGGGGUAACGGCUCACCAAGGCGACGAUCCCUAGCUGGUCUGAGAGGAUGACCCCCCACAUGGAGAAGAAGACAGCGUCCAGCCCACAACGGGAGGAAGAAGGGGGAAUUUUUGAACAAGGGGCGAAAGCUUGAUGCAGCCAUGCGGGGUGUAGAAAGAAGGCCUUGUGUUUUUAAAGUUCUUUCGGGGGGGAGGAAGGGAGUAAAUUAAAUACCUUGUCUAUUUGACUUGCCCCGAAGAAGAAGCCCCGGCAAACCCGGGA
rnacentral:rRNA from 1 species